rnacentral:rRNA from 1 species
CCUACGGGCGGCUGCAGUGGGGAAUAUUGGACAAUGGGCGAAAGCCUGAUCCAGCCAUGCCGCGUGUGUGAAGAAGGCCUUCGGGUUGUAAAGCACUUUCAGUGGGGAAGAAAGCCUUGGGGCUAAUACCCUCGAGGAAGGACAUCACCCACAGAAGAAGCACCGGCUAACUCCGUGCCAGCAGCCGCGGUAAUACGGAGGGUGCGAGCGUUAAUCGGAAUUACUGGGCGGAAAGCGCGCGUAGGCGGUCUGAUAAGCCGGUUGUGAAAGCCCCGGGCUCAACCUGGGAACGGCAUCCGGAACUGUCAGGCUAGAGUGCAGGAGAGGAAGGUAGAAUUCCCGGUGUAGCGGUGAAAUGCGUAGAGAUCGGGAGGAAUACCAGUGGCGAAGGCGGCCUUCUGGACCGACACUGACGCUGAGGUGCGAAAGCGUGGGUAGCAAACAGGAUUAGAUACCCUGUAGUC